rnacentral:pre_miRNA from 1 species
CCAACAUUCGGAUCUUCGGUCUACCAAGCAAUAUCACCCGCUCGGUGGAAGAACUACCUUCGUCAC